GACGAACGCUGGCGGCGUGCUUAACACAUGCAAGUCGAACGGUAAGGCUCCAGCUUGCUGGGGUACACGAGUGGCGAAAGGGUGAGUAACACGUGGGUGACCUGCCCUGCACUUCGGGAUAAGCCUGGGAAACUGGGUCUAAUACCGGAUAGGACCAUGGUGUGGAUACUGUGGUGGAAAGCUUUUUCGGUGUGGGAUGGGCCCGCGGCCUAUCAGCUUGUUGGUGGGGUAAUGGCCUACCAAGGCGGCGACGGGUAGCCGGCCUGAGAGGGUGGACGGCCACAUUGGGACUGAGACACGGCCCAGACUCCUACGGGAGGCAGCAGUGGGGAAUAUUGCACAAUGGGCGGAAGCCUGAUGCAGCGACGCCGCGUGGGGGAUGACGGCCUUCGGGUUGUAAACUCCUUUCACCAUCGACGAAGGGUUUCUGACGGUAGAUGGAGAAGAAGCACCGGCUAACUACGUG
rnacentral:rRNA from 1 species